rnacentral:rRNA from 1 species
ACGAGUGCGUGUGCCAGCCGCCGCGGUAAUACGUAGGGAGCAAGCGUUGUUCGGAUUUACUGGGCGUAAAGGGCGCGUAGGCGGCAACUCAAGUCAGCUGUGAAAUCUCCGAGCUUAACUCGGAACGGUCAGCUGAUACUGUUUUGCUAGAGUGCAGAAGGGGCAAUCGGAAUUCUUGGUGUAGCGGUGAAAUGCGUAGAUAUCAAGAGGAACACCUGAGGUGAAGACGGGUUGCUAGGCUGACACUGACGCUGAGGCGCGAAAGCCAGGGGAGCAAACGGGAUUAGAUACCCCGGUAGUCCUGGCCCUAAACGAUGAAUACUUGGUGUCUGGAGUUUCAAUACUUCGGGUGCCGUCGCUAACGUUUUUAGUAUUCCGCCUGGGGAGUACGCUCGCAAGAGUGAAACUCAAAGGAAUUGACGGG